rnacentral:rRNA from 1 species
AUUGAACGCUGGCGGCAUGCUUUACACAUGCAAGUCGAACGGCAGCGCGGGCUUCGGCCUGGCGGCGAGUGGCGAACGGGUGAGUAAUGCAUCGGAACGUGCCCAGUAGUGGGGGAUAGCCCGGCGAAAGCCGGAUUAAUACCGCAUACGACCUGAGGGUGAAAGCGGGGGACCGAAAGGCCUCGCGCUAUUGGAGCGGCCGAUGUCGGAUUAGCUAGUUGGUGGGGUAAAGGCUUACCAAGGCGACGAUCCGUAGCUGGUCUGAGAGGACGACCAGCCACACUGGGACUGAGACACGGCCCAGACUCCUACGGGAGGCAGCAGUGGGGAAUUUUGGACAAUGGGGGCAACCCUGAUCCAGCCAUGCCGCGUGCGAGAAGUAGGCCUUCGGGUUGUAAACCGCUUUUGUUCGGGAAGAAAUCCUCUGGGCUAAUACCCCGGGGGGAUGACGGUACCGGAAGAAUAAGCACCGGCUAACUACGUG